GCGGUCGCCUCCUAAAAGGUAACGGAGGCGCCCAAAGGUCUCCUCAGGCUGGUCGGAAAUCAGCCAUUGAGUGUAAAGGCAUAAGGAGGCUUAACUGUGAGGCACACGGGCCGAGCAGAUACGAAAGUAGGGCUUAGUGAUCCGGUGGCGCUGUAUGGAAGGGCCAUCGCUCAACGGAUAAAAGGUACGCCGGGGAUAACAGGCUUAUCGCGUCCAAGAGUUCACAUCGACGACGCGGUUUGGCACCUCGAUGUCGACUCAUCGCAUCCUGGGGCUGAAGUAGGUCCCAAGGGUUCGGCUGUUCGCCGAUUAAAGCGGUACGAGAGUUGGGUUCAGAACGUCGUGAGACAGUUCGGUCCCUAUCUGUUGUGGGCGGAGGAGAGUUGAGAGGGGCUUUCACUAGUACGAGAGGACUGUGAAGGACGGACCUCUGGUUUGCCGGUUGUCGCGCCAGCGGCAGUGCCGGGUAGCUAUGUCCGGUAGCGAUAAUCGCUGAAAGCAUCUAAGCGAGAAGCGUGCCUCAAGAUAAGCUCUCCCGGGGUGUAUGCCCCCUAAAGACCACUUGUAGACUACGAGUUUGAUAGGCUGGGUGUGGAAGGCCAGUGAUGGCUGUAGCUUACCAGUACUAAUCGGUCGUGCGGUUUAACAUC
rnacentral:rRNA from 1 species